UGGUGGGUAGUUUGACUGGGGCGGUCUCCUCCUAAAGAGUAACGGAGGAGCACGAAGGUUGGCUAAUCCUGGUCGGACAUCAGGAGGUUAGUGCAAUGGCAUAAGCCAGCUUGACUGCGAGCGUGACGGCGCGAGCAGGUGCGAAAGCAGGUCAUAGUGAUCCGGUGGUUCUGAAUGGAAGGGCCAUCGCUCAACGGAUAAAAGGUACUCCGGGGAUAACAGGCUGAUACCGCCCAAGAGUUCAUAUCGACGGCGGUGUUUGGCACCUCGAUGUCGGCUCAUCACAUCCUGGGGCUGAAGUAGGUCCCAAGGGUAUGGCUGUUCGCCAUUUAAAGUGGUACGCGAGCUGGGUUUAGAACGUCGUGAGACAGUUCGGUCCCUAUCUGCCGUGGGCGCUGGAGAACUGAGGGGGGCUGCUCCUAGUACGAGAGGACCGGAGUGGACGCAUCACUGGUGUUCGGGUUGUCAUGCCAAUGGCACUGCCCGGUAGCUAAAUGCGGAAGAGAUAAGUGCUGAAAGCAUCUAAGCACGAAACUUGCCCCGAGAUGAGUUCUCCCUGAGACUUAAAGUCUCCUGAAGGAACGUUGAAGACGACGACGUUGAUAGGCCGGGUGUGUAAGCGCAGCGAUGCGUUGAGCUAA
rnacentral:rRNA from 2 species